UUUCUUCGGAAAUGGAUUAGCGGCGAACGGGUGAGGAACACGUGAAGAAUCUGCCCUCCACUUUGGGAUAACACCGGGAAACCGGUGCUAAUACCGAAUAUUGAAACAUAAGUGGCAUCACUGAGUUUUGAAAGAAUUUCGGUGGAGGAUGACUUCGCGGCCUAUCAGCUAGUUGGUGAGGUAAUGGCUCACCAAGGCAACGACGGGUAGCCGGCCUGAGAGGGCGACCGGCCACACUGGGACUGAGACACGGCCCAGACUCCUACGGGAGGCAGCAGUGGGGAAUAUUGGGCAAUGGAGGAAACUCUGACCCAGCGACGCCGCGUGCGGGAUGAAGGCCUUCGGGUUGUAAACCGCUUUCAGUAGGGAAGAAGCGAAAGUGACGGUACCUACAAAAGAAGCACCGGCUAACUAUGUGCCAGCAGCCGCGGUAAUACAUAGGGUGCAAGCGUUGUCCGGAAUUAUUGGGCGUAAAGAGCUCGUAGGUCGUUUGUUACGUCGGAUGUGAAAUCCUGAGGCUCAACCUCAGGCCUGCAUUCGAUACGGGCAAACUAGAGUUUGGUAGGGGAGACUGGAAUUCCUGGUGUAGCGGUGGAAUGCGCAGAUAUCA
rnacentral:rRNA from 1 species